GAUGAACGCUAGCGGCAGGCUUAAUACAUGCAAGUCGAGGGGCAGCGCAGUGUAGCAAUACAUGGGCGGCGACCGGCAAACGGGUGCGGAACACGUACACAACCUUCCUACAAGUGGGGGAUAGCCCAGAGAAAUUUGGAUUAAUACCCCGUAACAUAACGAUGUGGCAUCACAUUGUUAUUAUAGCUACGGCGCUUGUUGAUGGGUGUGCGGCUGAUUAGGUAGUUGGCGGGGUAACGGCCCACCAAGCCUUCGAUCAGUAGCUGAUGUGAGAGCAUGCUCAGCCACACGGGCACUGAGACACGGGCCCGACUCCUACGGGAGGCAGCAGUAAGGAAUAUUGGUCAAUGGACGCAAGUCUGAACCAGCCAUGCCGCGUGAAGGAUUAAGGUCCUAUGGAUUGUAAACUUCUUUUGUAUAGGGAUAAACCUACCCUCGUGAGGGUAGCUGAAGGUACUAUACGAAUAAGCACCGGCUAACUCCGUGCCAGCAGCCGCAGUAAAAC
rnacentral:rRNA from 1 species